CCUACGGGCGGCUGCAGUGGGGAAUCUUGCGCAAUGGGCGAAAGCCUGACGCCGCGACGCCGCGUGAGGGAUGAAGGUCUUCGGAUCGUAAACCUCUGUCAGCAGGGAAGAACGGUCACUGUGCUAAUCAGCAGUGAAUUGACGGUACCUGCACAGGAAGCACCGGCUAACUCCGUGCCAGCAGCCGCGGUAAUACGGAGGGUGCGAGCGUUAAUCGGAAUUACUGGGCGUAAAGCGCUCGUAGGCGGUAUGUCAAGUCAAGGGUGAAAUCCCCGCGCUCAACGUGGGAACUGCCUUUGAAACUGGCAAACUGGAGUGUGUGAGAGGAUAGUGGAAUUCCAGGUGUAGGAGUGAAAGCCGUAGAUAUCUGGAGGAACAUCAGUGGCGAAGGCGACUAUCUGGCACAUAACUGACGCUGAGGAGCGAAAGCGUGGGUAGCAAACAGGAUUAGAUACCCCAGUAGUC
rnacentral:rRNA from 1 species